UCGUGUACAUUUCUUCGUUUCUUCUUUGCUGUUUUCAGUGAGUGUUUUGUUUUCUCUUUGUCCUUGAUCUCGACGGUGUUGUCGUGCUCAUUACCUUACUGAGACGUCUCUUGUGACUGUAGCCAGUGUCACGGAGGAUUUUAUUGGCGUGACGAGGUAGAUCGCUGAGAUCGAGCGUGAAAAACGCUCUGCACUAGUAGCUCAUGUAGAAUGUCUUCUGGGAUGGCGUAUCCAUGGUCAACAAAGCCAAGGUGCAAGACAGCAUAAGAGAUCGUGUAAACGAUGUGAACUCCAAAAGAUAAUCUGGACAAAUAAAUUAUAUUGUAACUGGAGAGUGCAAUCGUGAUUGGGACCCAUCCCAAUGUCAUCACAUGGCUGUGGUGACUAGUGUAUACCUGGGAGAGUUUUUCCUCAACUGAGAUGGAGUGCACAUGUACAUGUAGGUGGAUGGAUUAUGAGAAAUGCGAAGAUGUGGAGUUCAAGGCUAGAUGCACUUCACAUUCGGCGUGCGAUCUCGGCGUCUGGGCCUGAUAACGUCUUGGUUGGAUGGGUAAUCAAGGAUGAUGCUACUGGGCACACCAAUGUACAUGUCAAUGUAAUUUUUACUUUUUCAGAGCUGCACUAUUUACGUCUCGAUGCUUACUACGGUGCUAGCGUGUUUCCCCUGGAUUAUUUCUUUCAUCAUGCGUGUUCUUGGGCUGAGCAAGCAAAUGCAUGAGUGUGCAGCUAUAACCCUGUGUAUCUUUGGUUUCACUUUGUUCUGCAAUGCAUGUACAUGUUGUACCUUGUAAGUUGUAACCAUGGUAGCAGUACUGAUGUGCUUGCACUGCUUCGUGUGGCCUGCGUAUUUCAGGACUAUUCAGUGCAUUAGACCCAGGUUGGUUUGGUUGCCGGAUGAUCUCUUGUUGCGUCGCUCUGUGUUUUGUAUUCAUCAUUUUUUUGGGCUUGAGCUGGUGUGCGACUUUGUACAUGAUGUACCUCACUACAACUUACAGUGCGUUUUUUUAUAAUAGACUCUGAAAACCUUGAGAACGUACUCAAGGACACUUUUGAGAAAAUGUCAUGCGAGUUGCGUCACGAAAAUCUGCGCGCGAAAUUCGAAAAACCAGGUGCGACUCGUGGCAUUUCGCCAUCUUGUUCAGAGUGUCCUUCGAGCUCCUUGCCUCGUGGCCGGAGGAAUCAUUUUGUUGCUGACUGCACUGCUCUGUGGCCCUAUUUUGCUUUUUCUCGAGUGUCUUUUCGUUCGUGGCAACUUGUUCUCUUGACAUGCCACAUAAUUAUAACAAAACGCGAACGGGCCAUGGUACAUGGUGGUGUCUGUUUUACAAUUUUUUGCGAAGACGAGGAGAACAAUGGCUGGGCAUCGAAUUGGUCCCAAGUAUUCCAUUCGUCAUGCUGCUGUUGCGUGUGGCGUCAGCAUUUCCACCAUGAACAGAUGAACCAGGGAUGCUGACGGCGAAAAUCAGCGUGCUGCGUUGGCCAGUGAUGAAGGCAACGAGAGUGACAAUCCCCGAUGUGAGACUCGUGCCAUGAAACCACUCAACCCUGACGGAUUUGCUUUGGACUGUAUAAGAAGUAAUUUACGGAUUCUAUGCUGCGAAGGAGGACCCAACACUGGACAAAGUUCCUGCUCGCUGCAGAGAAAGCAUCGACGAUUUUCCAGACAUGAGCAAAACUAGCUCUUGGGAAAAUGUUGCGUUCCAUGGGAUUCCAGUGUGGCAAGACCAGAGGUAUCACACAAAUAAUGAUGGAACAGCACAGGAUUGUGUCAUGGCGGCAUCGCUACCUGUGAGACAUACCUGGAUGAGACGUGGGUCAAUGCGCGUCACACAGUUACCAGGAGGUGGUACGACAAUGGUGACAGGAGUGUAUAGGCAAGCAACCAAAUGAAGCACCAUCAGGUAAAGGCAAGCGCGUUAUUGUUCUGCAUACUGGUGGACGGGACAGAUUCGUGAAAAACUGCGCCGAUGUGUUCGUGACUGGAGGCCGGCGCCAACGAUGAUAUACGUCGUCGGCUGUCCGAGCACAUCUGUUCACUGUGUAAUACUGUCGUCACAAGUGCAACACAAAACACGGAAUUAUUGGGGCCGUUUCGUUCCUCGCUGGUCUUCUACUAUUCGCACAUGUUGACCCAGACAAAACUGUGACUUAUUUGCAUUGUGUGUGUGUGUGUGUGUGUGUUUGUGUGUUUGUAAAACUGCUCAUGCUUCCUUUUUGUUAGUCUCUUUAUGGGAGCUGUGUGAAUUGCCUUUGUGAUUUGUUGUGGUGUUUGAAUUUUCACUGCAUUCUUUCAGGGAUCGAGGGAAGUUUCCUACAUGCAUGCUGGAAUGUUUUGAUUUAUUGAGCUAAUUGCAAUGCAGGAUUUGAAUUAUUCAGUACAGUUUGCCACAAUAAGUCGUGAAAAGCCACGACUCACUGGUUUCCUACAACGGUUAGGAGAAUUGCAGACAGCAGUGCACAACUGCACAGCCAUGUGCAUGUACAUGUACAUGCAUGCGCUGUACUACAGUAUACCUAAAAAGAAAAAAAAGAAUCAAGAUGAACUGUACUGGAUUCGAACUCAUGCCGGGCACCAUGCAAGUGAUGGGCUUUCCUGGCUAAAACUUCCGUUUUAAAAAUCAAAAUCCACUGAAAACCAUUUAAAACCGGAUUUCUAGCCGAAACCCGGCCGAAUAUCUAACUUUGACAAUUAUUAUUAUUCCCACUCCCAAACUUAAUUUUCUUCGAUCCAACACCCACACAAACGUAGCUGUGAAGAAAAAAUUUCAAAUUUGGAAUGAGAACAAACUAAAAAAUCAAAAUCGACAAUGGUCUGUUAUAAAAAAACGCACUGUAGUACAAGUCAAGUG